rnacentral:rRNA from 1 species
UACGGAGGGGGCUAGCGUUGUUCGGAAUUACUGGGCGUAAAGCGCGCGUAGGCGGAUCUGCAAGUCGGGGGUGAAAGCCCGAGGCUCAACCUCGGAACUGCCUUCGAUACUGCGGGUCUCGAGUCCGGGAGAGGUGAGUGGAAUUCCUAGUGUAGAGGUGAAAUUCGUAGAUAUUAGGAAGAACACCAGUGGCGAAGGCGGCUCACUGGCCCGGUACUGACGCUGAGGCGCGAAAGCGUGGGUAGCAAACAGG